AAGUGUUGAAUAAAAAAUGGGUCACCCUAAAAAUGAAUAAAUAACGAAAUGAAAAAUGAACGUUGGCUCAUCACAAAUUCAUUUCAUUCAUAUAUAAUUCUU
ensembl:ncRNA M01H9.8 ncRNA